rnacentral:misc_RNA from 1 species
GAUGAAGAACGUAGUGAAAUGCGAUAAGUAAUGUGAAUUGCAGAAUUCAGUGAAUCAUCGAAUCUUUGAACGCACAUUGCGCCCUUUGGUAUUCCGAAGGGCAUGCCUGUUCGAGCGUCAUUUCAAACCUCAAGCUCACGCUUGGUAUUGGGCGUCGUCCGCUAGGACGUGCCAGAAACCCGUAGGCAGUGGUGCCCGCCUCCCAGCGUAGUCAAUCUACCCGCUUCGGAGCGCGCGGUGCCGCCCGCCGGACGAACAACCACUAUUUUCUAUGGUUUGACCUCGGAUCAGGUAGGGAUACCCGCUGAACUUAAGCAUAUCAAUAAGCGGAGGA